UACGUCGGGUGCAAGCGUUGUCCGGACUUAUUGGGCGUAACGAGCUCGUAGGCGGUUUGUUGCGUCGGCUGUGAAAUCCCGAGGCUCAACCUCGGGUCUGCAGUCGAUACGAGCAAACUAGAGUGUUGCAGGGGAGACUGGAAUUCCUGGUGCAGCGGUGAAAUGCGCAGAUAUCAGGAGGAACACCGGUGGCGAAGGCGGGUCUCUGGGCAACAACUGACGCUGAGGAGCGAAAGCGUGGGGAGCGAACAGG
rnacentral:rRNA from 1 species